rnacentral:rRNA from 1 species
CUGGCGGCGUGCUUAACACAUGCAAGUCGAACGAAGCUCUUCUAACAGAUCCUCGGGUGAAGAUAGAAGAUGACUGAGUGGCGGACGGGUGAGUAACGACGUGGGAAACCUGCCCUAUGCAGGGGGAUAACAGUUGGAAACGACUGCUAAUACCGCAUAAGCGCACAGCAUCGCAUGGUGCAGUGUGAAAAGCCUUUACGGCAUAGGAUGGUCCCGCGUCUGAUUAGCUAGUUGGUGAGGUAACGGCCCACCAAGGCGACGAUCAGUAGCCGACCUGAGAGGGUGACCGGCCACAUUGGGACUGAGACACGGCCCAAACUCCUACGGGAGGCAGCAGUGGGGAAUAUUGCACAAUGGGCGAAAGCCUGAUGCGGCGAACCGCCGCGUGAGUGAUGAAGUAUCUCGGUAUGUAAAGCUCUAUCAGCAGGGAAGAUAAUGACGGUACCUGACUAAGAAGCACCGGCUAAAUACGUGCCAGCCGCGGC